rnacentral:rRNA from 1 species
AUUGAACGCUGGCGGCAGGCUUAACACAUGCAAGUCGAGCGGGGGAAGGUAGCUUGCUACCGGACCUAGCGGCGGACGGGUGAGUAAUGCUUAGGAAUCUGCCUAUUAGUGGGGGACAACAUCUCGAAAGGGAUGCUAAUACCGCAUACGUCCUACGGGAGAAAGCAGGGGAUCUUCGGACCUUGCGCUAAUAGAUGAGCCUAAGUCGGAUUAGCUAGUUGGUGGGGUCAAGGCCUACCAAGGCGACGAUCUGUAGCGGGUCUGAGAGGAUGAUCCGCCACACUGGGCCUGAGACACGGCCCAGACUCCUCCGGGAGGCAGCAGUGGGGAAUAUUGGACAAUGGGGGGAACCCUGAUCCAGCCAUGCCGCGUGUGUGAAGAAGGCCUUAUGGUUGUAAAGCACUUUAAGUGAGGAGGAGGCUACUUUAGUUAAUACCUAGAGAUAGUGGACGUUACUCGCAGAAUAAGCACCGGCUAACUCUGUGCCAGCCGCCGCAGUAA